rnacentral:lncRNA from 1 species
GGUAGUGCACUACUUCUGAGUCCCUAUGGGGGUAGUGCACUACUUCUGAGUCCCUAUGGGGGUAGUGCACUACUUCUGAGUCCCUAUGGGGGGUAGUGCACUACGGUGAAAAGGAUGCAUCUAUAUUGGGAAUAGGUACAUAAGAGCCAUGAGUGAGGAGGUGGUACCGUUUAAACAAAAUGUCUUUUAAAGGCCCCUAUUCCUUUAUAGUGCAUACCCCUAGGGACUCUGGUCAAAAGUAGUGCACUAUGUAGAAUAGGGUGCCAAGUGCCAUAAAUAAGGAGAUACUUGGCCUGCCUCCCCAAUGGCUCCCUAUGGGGCCCACUGUAAAGGGAAUAUAAUGCCAGUGUAGCCCACGUAUCAUAGCAAACAGGAUGGAUGCCAGUGUAGCCCACAGUUUCAUAGCAACAGGAAGGAUGCCAGCGUAGCCCACAGUUUCAUAGCAACAGGAUGGAUGCCAGUGUAGCCCACGUUUCAUAGUAACAUGAUGGAUGCCAGUGUAGCCCCACGUUUCAUAGCACAGGAUGGAUGCCAGUGUAGCCCCACGUUCUUAGUAACAUGAUGGAAUGCCAGUGUAGCCCCAGUUUCAUAGCAACAGGAUGGAUGCCAGUGUAGACCCCAGUAUCAUAGCAACAGGAUGGAUGCCAGCGUAGCCCCAGUAUCAUAGCAACGGAAGGAUGCCCGCGUAGCCCGCAGUUCAUAGCAACGGCAGCCAUCUGUGAGCCAGACAAACCAUGUCUUAAGUGUGUGUGUCUCAAAAGGCUCACUAUUCCCUAUAUUAUAGUGAAUACUUUGAACAGGGUCCGUAGAAAAGCCCCAUAGAGCUCUGGUCACACAGCAGGCACUAUAUAGGGAAUGGGUUAACAUUGGAGACGCAGACCAAGUUCUGUAUAAUUGGAUGGUUUCUCCUAAUGUCUUAUUAAAGUGGUAGUUUAAGCAAUAGCAGCGGGGGUUGGUAUAUGCCAAAGGCCAGAGGGGGGUGGUAUAUGGCAAUAAGGCCAGAGGGGUGUGGUAUAUGGCCAAUAAGGCCAGAGGGGGUGUGGUCUAUGGCCAAUAAGGCCAGAGGGGGUGUGGUAUAUGGCCAAUAUACCACGGGCCAGUGGUUAGAGCGUUGGGACAGAAACCGAAAGGUUGCGAAGAUCAAAUCCCCGAGCGUCGUUCUGAACAGGCAGUUAAACCCACUGUUCCUAGGCCGUCAUUGUAAAUAAGAAUUUGUUUCUUAUUAUUAACUGACUGACCUCGAAAUAAAAGGUUAAAAAACAAAAUAAACACCCACAAACCCCC